GAUGAACGCUGGCGGCGUGCUUAACACAUGCAAGUCGAACGAAGCAUUUAGGACAGAUUACUUCGGUUUGAAGUUCUUUAUGACUGAGUGGCGGACGGGUGAGUAACGCGUGGGUAACCUGCCUUGUACUGGGGGAUAGCAGCUGGAAACGGCUGGUAAUACCGCAUAAGCGCACAAUGUCGCAUGACAUGGUGUGAAAAACUCCGGUGGUAUAAGAUGGACCCGCGUCUGAUUAGCUAGUUGGUGAGAUAACAGCCCACCAAGGCGACGAUCAGUAGCCGACCUGAGAGGGUGACCGGCCACAUUGGGACUGAGACACGGCCCAGACUCCUACGGGAGGCAGCAGUGGGGAAUAUUGCACAAUGGAGGAAACUCUGAUGCAGCGACGCCGCGUGAGUGAAGAAGUAAUUCGUUAUGUAAAGCUCUAUCAGCAGGGAAGAUAGUGACGGUACCUGACUAAGAAGCUCCGGCUAAAUACGUG
rnacentral:rRNA from 1 species